rnacentral:rRNA from 3 species
GAUAAGUAAUGUGAAUUGCAGAAUUCAGUGAAUCAUCGAAUCUUUGAACGCACCUUGCGCCCCUUGGUAUUCCGAGGGGCACGCCUGUUUGAGUGUCGUGA